UGCUGCGGCGGCUGCAGGUGCACCUGGAGGACAUGGAGCUGCGCCUGGAGCUGCCCCCACAGCCUGGGGGGGGCCUGGGGGGGGCCCUGGAGCUGCACCUGCCCAGGUGAGGGGCUCAGGUGUGUCCAGGUGUGUCCCAGGUGUGUCCCGGGUGUGUCCUGGGCGUGUCCUGGGUGUACCCAGGUGUGUCCCCGGGUGUGUGCCCAGGUGUGUGCCCAGGUGUGUGCCCAGGUGUGUCCCCAGGUGUGUCCAGGUGUGUCCUGGGUGGGUCCUGGGUGGGUCCUGGGUGUCCCCAGGUGUCCCCAGGUGUGUCCCCAGGUGUGUCCCAGGUGUGUCCCAGGUGUGUCCCAGGUGUGUUGCAGGUGUCCCAGGUGUGUCCCCAGGUGUCUGGGGUGUCUCAGGUGUGUCCCAGGUGUCCCCAGGUGUGUCCCAGGUGUGUCUCAGGUGUGGCUGUCCCCAGGGUGGAGUACGAGGACAUGGGGGAGGGUCCCGGCCCCCCCCCCGUGCUGCAGAAGCGGCUGCGGCUGCACGACCUGCGGCUGCUGUGGGCGGAGCCAGCCCCACCUGGGCAGCAGGUAUGUGUCACCUGUCACACCUGUGUGUCACCUGUGUGUGUCACCUGUCACACCUGUGUGUCACCUGUGUCACCUGUCACAUCUGUGUGUCCCUGUGUCACCUGUCACCUGUCACACCUGUGUGUCACCUGUGUCACCUGUCACACCUGUGUGUCCCUGUGUCACUUGUGUCACCUGUCACACCUGUGUGUCACCUGUGUCACCUGUCACACCUGUGUGUCCCUGUGUCAUCUGUCUCACCUGUGUCACACCCAUGUCCCACCUGUCCCACCUGUCCCACCUGUCCCACCUGUCUCACCUGUCUCUCACCCGUCUCUCACCCGUGUCUUACCUGUGUCCCACCUGUCCCACCUAUAUCUCACCUGUCUCACCCAUAUCUCACCCGUGUCCCACCCGUGUCCCACCUGUCAUACCUGUCCCACCUGUCCCACCUGUUUCACCUGUCUCACCUGUGUCCCACCUGUAUCUCACUUGUCCCACCUGUCUCUCUCUCUCACCUGUAUCUCACCUGUGUCUCACCUGUCUCUCACCUGUCUCACCCGUCUCUCUCUCACCUGUCCCACCGUGUCCCCCUCUCUGCCCGCAGCGCUGCAGUUCCCCCGCCGCCCAUCUGGGGGCGCUGCUCCCGGGCCCUGCGGAGCUGCGGCUGCGCCUGAGGCGGAGCGAGAGAGCGGCGGGGCCGGCGGUGGAGCUGGAGGCCACCGUGGGGUCCCUGCACCUGCUGCUGCCCCCCCCCCCUGCUGGGGGUCCUGCGGGGGGCUCUGGACCCCCCCGGUCCCCCCCCCGGGGGUCGCAGCCGCCCCCUGGGCCCGCAGGACCUGGCGCUGAUCGAGCGGGAGCUGAGCCGGGGCCUGCGGGGGGGGCGCGACCCCCCGACCCCCCCCGGGGGCGACCCCGACGGCGGUGAGGGGGGGGGGGGGCUGGGGGGGCUCCGGGGUGGGUUUUGGGGGGGUCUUGG
rnacentral:lncRNA from 1 species